rnacentral:misc_RNA from 1 species
GUGAAUCAUCAAAUUUUUGAACGCAAAUUGCACUCUCUGGUAUUCCGGAGAGUAUGCCUGUUUGAGGGUAAGUUUAAAUAAAAAUCGGUGUGGUUGUUGCCUUUAGUGGUGACGAACUGGAUGUGGGUAGUCUUGUCUUUGGUUAUAUGACCUAAAAUCUUGUAUGAUUUUAUUCGAACGUAAUUAAAUGUUUUUAAGUACGUUUGCAUU